ACGUUCGGAUUGCAGCCUGCAACUCGGCUGCAUGAAGCUGGAAUCGCUAGUAAUCGCAGAUCAGAAUGCUGCGGUGAAUACGUUCCCGGGUCUUGUACACACCGCCCGUCACACCAUGGGAGUUGGGAAUGCCCGAAGUCAGUGACCCAACCGCAAGGAGGGAGCUGCCGAAGGCAGGCUUGAUAACUGGGGUGAAGUCGUAACAAGGUACC
rnacentral:rRNA from 1 species